rnacentral:rRNA from 1 species
GACAGAGGGUGCAAACGUUGCUCGGAAUCACUGGGCGUAAAGGGCGUGUAGGCGGGCAGGCAAGUCAGGUGUGAAAUCCCUGGGCUCAACCCAGGAAUUGCACUUGAAACUGCCUAUCUUGAGUACCGGAGAGGAAGGUGGAAUUCCUGGUGUAGAGGUGAAAUUCGUAGAUAUCAGGAGGAACACCAGUGGCGAAGGCGGCCUUCUGGACGGUAACUGACGCUGAGACGCGAAAGCGUGGGGAGCAAACAGG